CCGAAAUCUCGCGAUAGGACAGCAUCGUCUGAACGCUGCUCUAAGAUGGCGAAGACAUGUAGGAGUCAGGAGGGUUUCAGGCUUCUGAAGAGGAAACACCCAUGCUUUUCUAAAGCUGUCGUGACUAAAUUGGCUGGGCUUUGCUGAGGUAGUAGUUUGUAUAGUUUGGGAUCACACCAGAUCUAGGAGAUAACUAUACAGUCUACUGUCUUUCUCACGGCUACCACGUUGCAUCAUGUCGUCCAUCGUGGGAGUGGAGAAAACGAAAACCGCGGACUCCAAUGGAAUUAACAGCGUGGGACAUAUCAGGGUGUGGCUCGGUUGUGCUGAGGUAGUAAGUUGUGUUGUUGUAGGGACUUGGUAUAAUUUGCCCUUUUUAUGGAGAUAACUAUACAUCUUACUGCCUUCCAUGCCAGAGUCCUGACCUACAGCAAUUAGUGCAAACAAUUCCAUCAUUAAUAGUGUUUUUAUUAUGCAUUUUUGAAAUGUUAUUUGUUUGUACUGUGAUUUCAAUAAACUGUUGACUUUAUGUAAAGAA